rnacentral:rRNA from 1 species
AUUGAACGCUGGCGGAAUGCUUUACACAUGCAAGUCGAACGGCAGCACGGGGGCAGCCCUGGUGGCGAGUGGCGAACGGGUGAGUAAUACAUCGGAACGUGCCCGGUCGUGGGGGAUAACGUAGCGAAAGUUACGCUAAUACCGCAUACGAUCUGAGGAUGAAAGCGGGGGACCUUCGGGCCUCGCGCGAUCGGAGCGGCCGAUGUCAGAUUAGGUAGUUGGUGGGGUAAAGGCCUACCAAGCCGACGAUCUGUAGCUGGUCUGAGAGGACGACCAGCCACACUGGGACUGGAACACGGCCCAGACUCCUACGGGAGGCAGCAGUGGGGAAUUUUGGACAAUGGGCGCAAGCCUGAUCCAGCCAUUCCGCGUGCAGGACGAAGGCCUUCGGGUUGUAAACUGCUUUUGUACGGAACGAAAAGGCUCUGGCUAAUACCUGGGGCUCAUGACGGUACCGUAAGAAUAAGCACCGGCUAACUACGUG